CGGAGGCAUAUUUUAAGUUAAAGAAUGUAAGCUUUGGGGGCUUAGGGUCUCGUGAGGAGUGUUCCGA
rnacentral:tRNA from 1 species